GAUUCCCUAGUACUGCGAGUGAAGCGGGAAAAGCUCAAAUUUAAAAUCCUUCGGGAGUUGUAAUCUAUAGAAGUGUUUUCGGUCGUUGCCUCGGACAAGUCUCUUGGAACAGAGCGUCAUAGAGGGUGAGAAUCCCGUCCUUGCCGAGCUCCCAACGUCUAUGUGAUACACUUUCAAAGAGUCGAGUUGUUUGGGAAUGCAGCUCAAAAUGGGUGGUAAACUCCAUCUAAAGCUAAAUAUUGGCGAGAGACCGAUAGCGAACAAGUACCGUGAGGGAAAGAUGAAAAGCACUUUGGAAAGAGAGUUAAACAGUACGUGAAAUUGUUGAAAGGGAAGCGCUUGGAGUCAGUCGCGUUGCAAGGACUCAGCCUCACGGUGUAUUUCCUUGCAACGGGUCAACAUCAGUUUCGACCGCGGAAUAAGGGCUUGAGGAAUGUGGCAGCCUCGGCUGUGUUAUAGCCUCCUGUCGUACGUCGCGGUUGGGACUGAGGUCUGCUUACAGGAUGUUGACGAAAUGGCUCUAAGCGACCCGUCUUGA
rnacentral:rRNA from 1 species